GAAAUGCGAUAGGUAAUGUGAAUUGCAGAAUUCAGUGAAUCAUCGAAUCUUUGAACGCACAUUGCGCCCUUUGGUAUUCCUUAGGGCAUGCCUGUUCGAGCGUCACUACACACCUUAUCACAACAUUUGUGGUCUUGGCAGGAGUGAAUUGCUAGUCUAUGAAAAUAUUCCAGCUGUCCACCAUGCUGAAAAUUAUGGGAAGGUUACCAGGCGUGAACAACAGACUUUGUAAAGGGUUGCAGGACCUGUAUCAGUCACCAGUCAUGUCUGGUCCUUACCUUAGGGACCCCCAUCCUAGAUGAACUAUGGGUCGACCUCGAAUCAGGUAGGGAUACCCGCUGAACUUAA
rnacentral:misc_RNA from 1 species